rnacentral:rRNA from 1 species
UACGUAGGCAGCGAGCGUUGUUCGGAGUUACUGGGCGUAAAGGGUGUGUAGGCGGUUGUUUAAGUUUGGUGUGAAAUCUCCCGGCUCAACUGGGAGGGUGCGCCGAAUACUGAAUGACUAGUGUGCGGGAGAGGAAAGUGGAAUUCCUGGUGUAGCGGUGAAAUGCGUAGAUAUCAGGAGGAACACCGGUGGUGUAGACGGCUUUCUGGACCGUAGCUGACGCUGAGACACGAAAGCGUGGGUAGCAAACAGG